rnacentral:tRNA from 1 species
UCCCUGGAGGACUAGUGGUUAGGCCUCAGCACUCUCACUGCUGUGGCCUGGGUUCGAUCCCCAGCCAGGGCA